rnacentral:misc_RNA from 1 species
UCCGAGUUGUCCCCGGCAGUCCCCUUAGAGUCCCCGGCAUUACCCGCUGGCAACUAAGAGCAGGGGUUGCGCUCGUUAUAGGACUUAACCUGACACCUCACGGCACGAGCUGACGACAACCAUGCAGCACCUUGUAACUUGCCCGAAGGAAAAACUGUUUCCAGUCCUGUCACUCUACAUUUAAGCCCUGGUAAGGUUCCUCGCGUAUCAUCGAAUUAAACCACAUGCUCCACCGCUUGUGCGGGCCCCCGUCAAUUCCUUUGAGUUUCAAACUUGCGUUCGUACUCCCCAGGUGGGAUACUUAUCACUUUCGCUUAGCCACUCAGAUUUGCAUCCGAACAGCUAGUAUCCAUCGUUUACGGCGUGGACUAC